rnacentral:rRNA from 1 species
GUGGGGAAUAUUGGACAAUGGGCGAAAGCCUGAUCCAGCAAUGCCGCGUGAGUGAUGAAGGCCCUAGGGUUGUAAAGCUCUUUUACCCGGGAUGAUAAUGACAGUACCGGGAGAAUAAGCUCCGGCUAACUUCGUGCCAGCAGCCGCGGUAAUACGAGGGGAGCUAGCGUUGUUCGGAAUUACUGGGCGUAAAGCGCGCGUAGGCGGUUUUUUAAGUCAGAGGUGAAAGCCCGGGGCUCAACCCCGGAAUUGCCUUUGAAACUGGAAAACUAGAAUCUUGGAGAGGUCAGUGGAAUUCCGAGUGGAGAGGUGAAAUUCGUAGAUAUUCGGAAGAACACCAGUGGCGAAGGCGACUGACUGGACAAGUAUUGACGCUGAGGUGCGAAAGCGUGGGGAGCAAACAGGAUUAGAUACCCCUGUAGUCC